GCCGGGCGUGGUGGCGGGCGCCUGUAGUCCCAGCUACUCGGAGGCUGAGGCGGGAGAAUGGCUUGAACCUGGGAGGUGGAGCUUGCAGUGAGCCGAGAUCGCGCCACUGCACUCCAGCCUGGGCGACAGAGCGAGACUCCGUCUCAA
ensembl:misc_RNA Metazoa_SRP Metazoan signal recognition particle RNA